rnacentral:rRNA from 1 species
UACGAGGGGGGCGAACGUUGUUCGGAAUUAUUGGGCGUAAAGGGUGCGUAGGCGGCCUGACAAGUCUGAUGUGAAAUCCCUGGGCUCAACCCAGGGCCUGCAUCGGAAACUGUCGGGCUUGAGUAUGGGAGAGGUGAGUGGAAUUUCCGGUGUAGCGGUGAAAUGCGUAGAUAUCGGAAGGAACACCUGUGGCGAAAGCGGCUCACUGGACCAUUACUGACGCUGAGGCACGAAAGCUAGGGGAGCAAACAGG